AGGGGUAUAGUUCAGUCGGUAGAACGUCGGUCUCCAAAACCGGAUGUCGUGGGUUCAAGUCCUACUGCCCCUG
rnacentral:tRNA from 1 species